rnacentral:snoRNA from 1 species
AUGCCAUGAUGAGGGCACUUUCAUAAUAAAUCCUUUAACCGCUCCCAUGCCUCAUAUAAAGAUUCUUCGUCAAGUUGUUGAAAUGAAGUGAUUUUAUUUCGAAGCUU